rnacentral:rRNA from 1 species
AACAAACGCUGGCGGCGUGCCUAAUACAUGCAAGUCGAACGGGGAAAGCUUUCGGGUGAGUACUAGUGGCGCACGGGUGAGGAACGCGUGGAUAAUCUGCCUUAGAGUGGGGGAUAACUAGUCGAAAGAUUAGCUAAUACCGCAUAAGACCACAGGAGCUGCGGCUCAAGGGGUCAAAGGUUUUUCGCUCUAAGAUGAGUCCGCGUAAGAUUAGCUAGUUGGUGAGGUAACGGCUCACCAAGGCGACGAUCUUUAACUGGUCUGAGAGGAUGAUCAGUCACACUGGAACUGAGACACGGUCCAGACUCCUACGGGAGGCAGCAGUAGGGAAUAUUGCACAAUGGAGGAAACUCUGAUGCAGCGACGCCGCGUGAGUGAUGAAGGCCUUCGGGUCGUAAAGCUCUGUCGCAGGGGAAUAACACAAUGAAUGUACCCUGUAAGAAAGGAUCGGCUAACUUCGUGCCAGCAGCCGCGGUAAAAC